rnacentral:rRNA from 1 species
UUUUUUUGGGGGUGGGUUAGUGGCGAACGGGUGAGUAACACGUGAGUAACCUGCCCCUCACUUCUGGAUAACCGCUUGAAAGGGUGGCUAAUACGGGGUGUUCUGGCCUGCUCGCAUGGGUGGGUUUGGAAAGAUUCGACCGGUUUUGGUGUUUUGGUGGGGGAUGGGCUCGCGGCCUAUCAGCUUGUUGGUGGGGUGAUGGCCUGCCAAGGCUUUGACGGGUAGCCGGCCUGAGAGGGUGGGCGGUCACACUGGGACUGAGACACGGCCCAGACUCCUACGGGAGGCAGCAGUGGGGAAUAUUGCACAAUGGGCGCAAGCCUGAUGCAGCGACGCCGCGUGAGGGAUGGAGGCCUUCGGGUUGUGAACCUCUUUCGCCAGUGAAGAAGGUCCUGCUCUUUGUGGUGGGGUUGACGGUAGCUGGGUUAAUGAAGCGCCGGCUAACUAC